GACGAACGCUGGCGGCGUGCCUAAUACAUGCAAGUAGAACGCUGAAGGAGGAGCUUGCUCUUCUGGAUGAGUUGCGAACGGGUGAGUAACGCGUAGGUAACCUGCCUGGUAGCGGGGGAUAACUAUUGGAAACGAUAGCUAAUACCGCAUAAGAGUAGAUGUUGCAUGACAUUUACUUAAAAGGUGCAAUUGCAUCACUACCAGAUGGACCUGCGUUGUAUUAGCUAGUUGGUGGGGUAACGGCUCACCAAGGCGACGAUACAUAGCCGACCUGAGAGGGUGAUCGGCCACACUGGGACUGAGACACGGCCCAGACUCCUACGGGAGGCAGCAGUAGGGAAUCUUCGGCAAUGGACGGAAGUCUGACCGAGCAACGCCGCGUGAGUGAAGAAGGUUUUCGGAUCGUAAAGCUCUGUUGUAAGAGAAGAACGAGUGUGAGAGUGGAAAGUCAC
rnacentral:rRNA from 1 species